AUCUAGUUAACGAGUCUUAAAUGGGACGAAACGCGCGUUCUGGAU
rnacentral:hammerhead_ribozyme from 1 species